CUGCCCGGUAGCUAAAUGCGGAAGAGAUAAGUGCUGAAAGCAUCUAAGCACGAAACUUGCCCCGAGAUGAGUUCUCCCUGAGACUUUAAGUCUCCUGAAGGAACGUUAAAGACGAUGACGUUGAUAGGCCGGGUGUGUAAGCGCAGCGAUGCGUUGAGCUAACCGGUACUAAUGAACCGUGAGGCUUAACCUU
rnacentral:rRNA from 1 species